CAGAUUAUUGGGCAUCAAGGUGGAGAUUGUUGGGUUUUUUUAUACCCAAUAAUCCGGACGAUGAUUUAAAACAGUUGUCGGAUUAUUUAUCGACACCAUGGACUUGGCUCGGCUCGGCUCGGAGACGAACUACACUUUUGGAUGGCUCGGGUUUGGAUUGGAUGAUUAUUUGGUUAGUUAGACCAUUUGGUGAUUAAUAUGGAGUUAGAAAUUGGCCCAUUAGUUUAGGUUAUAUAGCAGUCCACUUAGAGAUUUCUUAGCCCAUAUUUGGUAACCUAAACUAACAUAUAUAUAUGUAUUUAUCUCCCAGCCGUUUUGGCGUAUGUGUGUUGUAGCAAUGGAGACGAGAGUUGAGAGAAGAGAGGCAGCCGAUAGAGAGGGAAGCCAUGUGAAGUUGUGAGUGAAAUUCAACUAUUGUGAUACCUUCUUCUUCCUCUCCAUACCUUUGUGGAUUGCUAACACCACCACCCUUCUUCUAUGUGGGGGUUAGAGAGAAAGUGAGCAGUUCAAAGUGAAGGCGAAAGUCCUGGGUCAAGUUGAGGUAAAUCGGUGUUCUUUUGAUUGUUUUCUGAGCCUGGAAUCAAGACUUAUCGAGGAAUUUCUGCUACACACAUUCAGUUGUAUUUCCUCUUCUUGUUCAAACAUAUGACCAUAU
rnacentral:lncRNA from 1 species